UGGGGAAUUUUGGACAAUGGGCGAAAGCCUGAUCCAGCAAUGCCGCGUGUGUGAAGAAGGCCUUCGGGUUGUAAAGCACUUUUGUCCGGAAAGAAAUCCUUGGCUCUAAUACAGUCGGGGGAUGACGGUACCGGAAGAAUAAGCACCGGCUAACUACGUGCCAGCAGCCGCGGUAAUACGUAGGGUGCAAGCGUUAAUCGGAAUUACUGGGCGUAAAGCGUGCGCAGGCGGUUUGCUAAGACCGAUGUGAAAUCCCCGGGCUCAACCUGGGAACUGCAUUGGUGACUGGCAGGCUAGAGUAUGGCAGAGGGGGGUAGAAUUCCACGUGUAGCAGUGAAAUGCGUAGAGAUGUGGAGGAAUACCGAUGGCGAAGGCAGCCCCUGGGCCAAUACUGACGCUCAUGCACGAAAGCGUGGGGAGCAAAACAGGAUUAGAUACCCUGGUAGUCCACGCCCUAAAACGAUGUCAACUAGUUGUUGGGGAUUCAUUUCCUUAGUAACGUAGCUAACGCGUGAAGUUGACCGCCUGGGGAGUACGGUCGCAAGAUUAAAACUUAAAGGAAUUGACGGGGUCAUAGCUGUUUCC
rnacentral:rRNA from 1 species